ensembl:snRNA Rnu6-571 RNA, U6 small nuclear 571
GCUUGCUUCACUAGCUCAUACAAUAAAAUUUGAAAGACACAGAUAAUUAGCAUGGCCACUAGGCAAGGAUGACAUGCAAAUUCAGGAAGGAUUCCAUAUUUUA